GUGAACGUAUGAGCAGAGUGAUUAUCCCAUAUUAUCCCACUUCGGUUAUAGAGGAUCAAGGCUGAGAUUAUGCAUGUGUGGAGGAGGGAUAGUGGAUAUACUGGAAAAAGAAUGUUGGACCUGAGGGGGCAGCAAUACGCCUUUUGUUGAGUCUGCCGGAAAUCCAAGAAGAAGACGCAGCAGCAGUCGAAGAAGAAGAAGAACCGUAAACAAACUAAACUGAGGCGGCGUUUGUGUAUAGUUUUUAGGUUUUAACAGAAGAUGGAGGCACUCAGCAGACGGGCUCUGGACCGGAUUUACUCCGCGGUAUUGCUGGCAGUCGUGGUUUUGUCCUGGUCUUACGUGAUCUACGCCAGCAGGAUCGCCUCCGUUUGGCUGCUGGAACAGAGGACCCGUCGUUGAGGCAAGACUGACCGUGCGUCGGAGUGCAGGCGUACAGGCUGAUGGACCCCUUUAAGCCCUCGUUCCAAAGGUUCAGACCUGAACAUAUGGCGACUGCUCAGGUAGGAGAGGAUUGAAGCGGCUGAAAGCACCAGAGGUUUCCAGGAGGUCAGAUCUGAAAGGAGACGACAGAAACAACCAAAAACUGGUUUAAAAACUGGAAAAGACGGCGUAAUGAGAGACAUAAUGAAGACGAGAUCCGAACGUGAGUGGGUCCUAUGGGGACUGCAUUUAGCCCACAACACAGUAAAACACCACAACACCCACUCUGAUACUUUAUGUUGUAAUUACUGCUGAGUAAUUUAGAGUAAUUGAACUAUCGAAAGCUGGAUUAAUGACUUCUUGGGCAGUCAAACCACAUUUCUCUCUUUAAUUGAGACUGCAUUUUUAUACGUUGUCCCACAUCUGUCUCACAUUUUGACUUCUUCUGCACUUUUCUAAAGUGUGGCUUUUACCCAGUGCAUAUCAAGGGAAGGCUUUUUUAUAUGUGUCAAAUAAAGAUUAGCCUGUUUAAUGUUGUGAAUGUUACAAAUUACCAGAAAGUCAUAAGAGUUUCACAUUUUAGUGAUUAUGAUUGGAAGCACCACAAAUGAAAUGGAGUGUCAGUAUACACUGAUAAAUAAUGUUUUUGUUGUAGUUGUUUUGAUUUUGCGCGGGAGCAAGUCUGGUGUGAAGUUACACGGUAUGCUGUGUCACAUCUGACUAAAAAUAGCUAAACUAUAUGUCAAUAAAAAGUAUACCAAUCUAUGGAUACAUCACUACUGACACCCACAGACAGUUACAGUUGGAACAGCAGGAGUAUGUAAAGACUAUCACAUGAGUUUUCUUUAAAUCUUAUUAUAUUUACUUAAAAAGAGUUGGGAAAAUUGCAUUCACAUAUAUUGGACUACCUCCCAGCAUUUUUAACACUUUGUCCCGCACUUACACAUAUAGUUUGUUGGGAUCUGGUCAGCCAAUCAGGAAUCUGUAUUUUUUGUCUUAUAAUCACAAUAAAAAUGCUCCAACAACAUAAACGGGGUCCAAUUAGCUCAGGUGAAGCUUAGCCGCCUGUGUCACCAUCCACCUGUCAGUCAAAGAGGCCACGCCCCAAUAAUGCAAACUUUAAACCUUAAUAUAAUUUAAACAGAUGACUUAUAAAAAAUUCACACUCCCUUAGAGUUAUUAAGAAGAGGGGAAUUAGCUAUAGGGUUCAAAACCUUUAUUGUAGCAGGGUGUAAAUAUGUUUGUUUGUCUUGUAAAGUCAGAUGUUUUAACACAGUCACUCUAGUGGACAUUAGAGGAACUGCAGGCUUCACAUUCACAAAGUUAUUUAUUCAGUACAUAUAAUUCUAUAACUAGACACUGCGGCUGAAUCACCAAAAAGUUUUCUGCAGUUUUUUUUAAAUGUUUGUUUGUUUUUUAAAAUUCAAUUUAAACUCCCAAGUGUGAACUUCCCUAAGGUCUAAGUGUGUCUUUAACAUUGGGAAACCUGAUGGUCUCAUUUUUUUUUGUUUGUAGUUUAAUAUUACCUGAUCUACCUCUAAAUUAAUGUAAAAGCAAUAAAAAACAAGUAUCUGGUCAUUUUUCUGUACAUUUCAACAUUAAAGAUUAGUUUCUUCAGCU